rnacentral:rRNA from 1 species
UACAGAGGGUGCAAGCGUUAAUCGGAGUUACUGGGCGUAAAGGGCGCGUAGGCGGCCACGCAAGUCGACUGUGAAAUCUCCGGGCUUAACCCGGAAAGGUCAGCCGAUACUGCGGGGCUAGAGUGCAGAAGGGGCAACUGGAAUUCUCGGGUGUAGCGGUGAAAUGUGCAGAUAUCAGGAGGAACACCGGUGGCGAAGGCGGGUCUCUGGGCCGAUACUGACUGAGGACGAAAAGCGUGGGG